rnacentral:rRNA from 1 species
GACGAACGCUGGCGGCGUGCCUAACACAUGCAAGUCGAACGAGGUCCAGGGAAGCUUGCUUCCUGAAGACCUAGUGGCGAACGGGUGAGUAACACGUGAGAAACCUGCCUCGGAGUGGGGAAUAACUCGGGGAAACUCGAGCUAAUACCGCAUACCUUCACAUGAUCGCAUGGUCGAGUGAAGAAAGAAUUUCGCUCUGAGAGGGUCUCGCGGCCUAUCAGCUUGUUGGUGGGGUAACGGCCUACCAAGGCAACGACGGGUAGCUGGUUUGAGAGAACGAUCAGCCACACUGGGACUGAGACACGGCCCAGACUCCUACGGGAGGCAGCAGUGGGGAAUCUUGCGCAAUGGGCGAAAGCCUGACGCAGCAACGCCGCGUGCGGGAUGACGGCCUUCGUGGUUGUAACCGCUUCAGCAGGGACGAAAUGACGGUACCUGCAGAAGAAGCCCCGGCGUAACUACGUGCCAGCAGCCGCGGUAAU